rnacentral:rRNA from 1 species
UCAGCGACUUAUAUUCUGUAGCAAGGUUAACCGAAUAGGGGAGCCGAAGGGAAACCGAGUCUUAACUGGGCGUUAAGUUGCAGGGUAUAGACCCGAAACCCGGUGAUCUAGCCAUGGGCAGGUUGAAGGUUGGGUAACACUAACUGGAGGACCGAACCGACUAAUGUUGAAAAAUUAGCGGAUGACUUGUGGCUGGGGGUGAAAGGCCAAUCAAACCGGGAGAUAGCUGGUUCUCCCCGAAAGCUAUUUAGGUAGCGCCUCGUGAAUUCAUCUCCGGGGGUAGAGCACUGUUUCGGCAAGGGGGUCAUCCCGACUUACCAACCCGAUGCAAACUGCGAAUACCGGAGAAUGUUAUCACGGGAGACACACGGCGGGUGCUAACGUCCGUCGUGAAGAGGGAAACAACCCAGACCGCCAGCUAAGGUCCCAAAGUCAUGGUUAAGUGGGAAACGAUGUGGGAAGGCCCAGACAGCCAGGAUGUUGGCUUAGAAGCAGCCAUCAUUUAAAGAAAGCGUAAUAGCUCACUGGUCGAGUCGGCCUGCGCGGAAGAUGUAACGGGGCUAAACCAUGCACCGAAGCUGCGGCAGCGACACUGUGUGUUGUUGGGUAGGGGAGCGUUCUGUAAGCCUGUGAAGGUGUGCUGUGAGGCAUGCUGGAGGUAUCAGAAGUGCGAAUGCUGACAUAAGUAACGAUAAAGCGGGUGAAAAGCCCGCUCGCCGGAAGACCAAGGGUUCCUGUCCAACGUUAAUCGGGGCAGGGUGAGUCGACCCCUAAGGCGAGGCCGAAAGGCGUAGUCGAUGGGAAACAGGUUAAUAUUCCUGUACUUGGUGUUACUGCGAAGGGGGGACGGAGAAGGCUAUGUUGGCCGGGCGACGGUUGUCCCGGUUUAAGCGUGUAGGCUGGUUUUCCAGGCAAAUCCGGAAAAUCAAGGCUGAGGCGUGAUGACGAGGCACUACGGUGCUGAAGCAACAAAUGCCCUGCUUCCAGGAAAAGCCUCUAAGCAUCAGGUAACAUCAAAUCGUACCCCAAACCGACACAGGUGGUCAGGUAGAGAAUACCAAGGCGCUUGAGAGAACUCGGGUGAAGGAACUAGGCAAAAUGGUGCCGUAACUUCGGGAGAAGGCACGCUGAUAUGUAGGUGAAGUCCCUCGCGGAUGGAGCUGAAAUCAGUCGAAGAUACCAGCUGGCUGCAACUGUUUAUUAAAAACACAGCACUGUGCAAACACGAAAGUGGACGUAUACGGUGUGACGCCUGCCCGGUGCCGGAAGGUUAAUUGAUGGGGUCAGCGCAAGCGAAGCUCUUGAUCGAAGCCCCGGUAAACGGCGGCCGUAACUAUAACGGUCCUAAGGUAGCGAAAUUCCUUGUCGGGUAAGUUCCGACCUGCACGAAUGGCGUAAUGAUGGCCAGGCUGUCUCCACCCGAGACUCAGUGAAAUUGAACUCGCUGUGAAGAUGCAGUGUACCCGCGGCAAGACGGAAAGACCCCGUGAACCUUUACUAUAGCUUGACACUGAACAUUGAGCCUUGAUGUGUAGGAUAGGUGGGAGGCUUUGAAGUGUGGACGCCAGUCUGCAUGGAGCCGACCUUGAAAUACCACCCUUUAAUGUUUGAUGUUCUAACGUGGACCCGUGAUCCGGGUUGCGGACAGUGUCUGGUGGGUAGUUUGACUGGGGCGGUCUCCUCCUAAAGAGUAACGGAGGAGCACGAAGGUUGGCUAAUCCUGGUCGGACAUCAGGAGGUUAGUGCAAUGGCAUAAGCCAGCUUGACUGCGAGCGUGACGGCGCGAGCAGGUGCGAAAGCAGGUCAUAGUGAUCCGGUGGUUCUGAAUGGAAGGGCCAUCGCUCAACGGAUAAAAGGUACUCCGGGGAUAACAGGCUGAUACCGCCCAAGAGUUCAUAUCGACGGCGGUGUUUGGCACCUCGAUGUCGGCUCAUCACAUCCUGGGGCUGAAGUAGGUCCCAAGGGUAUGGCUGUUCGCCAUUUAAAGUGGUACGCGAGCUGGGUUUAGAACGUCGUGAGACAGUUCGGUCCCUAUCUGCCGUGGGCGCUGGAGAACUGAGGGGGGCUGCUCCUAGUACGAGAGGACCGGAGUGGACGCAUCACUGGUGUUCGGGUUGUCAUGCCAAUGGCACUGCCCGGUAGCUAAAUGCGGAAGAGAUAAGUGCUGAAAGCAUCUAAGCACGAAACUUGCCCCGAGAUGAGUUCUCCCUGACCCUUUAAGGGUCCUGAAGGAACGUUGAAGACGACGACGUUGAUAGGCCGGGUGUGUAAGCGCAGCGAUGCGUUGAGCUAACCGGUACUAAUGAACCGUGAGGCUUAACCUUACAACGCCGAAGGUGUUU